GGAGCGCGGCGCGGGAGCGGGGCGGAGCCACGGCUCUGACCACGUGGUUCGGGGCGUGAGUCAAGUGGCGCGGUGGGGCGCGGACCCGGAACCGCCUAGUGGUAAAGGGGCCUCCCGGCGUUGUCCGGUGGUGUCUAGGGUGUCGGCGACGCUGUCUUCCUGCAAUACUGGAGCGCAUGAAAUCCUCGGUACACAACGCACCUCUGCCUGGGUCCUGGGCCCCAUUUCACAGACAAGAGAUACGUGAAGCGCCUCCGUGAGAAGAGCUGACGAUUCUUAGCAAACCAAGUUCUGUAUGAUUUUGGUGAAGCGGCGCUGCCCCAGAACCCCUGGAGGGCCUGCAUCAGCAAACUGGACAGCCACGGAUGUGUAACCUCUUCUGCGGCCUGAGAGACAGACCUUUCUCUCCACUGUGAGUUCUGGCUUCAGCUAUUGCGCUUCUGAAUGCCACUACCAUCAAUGAAUAUUAGGAAAAUGGCAGAUUCUACCCAGUUGACCCAUGGGGAAAGUUAUAGGAGAAAAAUUAACCAGAGCAACCUCUCACUGUUUUUAAUUGCCUUGCCUUUCCCAGGGAUAUGCUAUCUACAGAACUUAACACCUGAGCACCCACCCUUCAGGGCCACCCAGGGAUGGCAUCCCAUGUGCCCAAAAUGGGAUAAAGGAGCCAUUCCCUGACAUAGGAGGAAAACAUUUACUGAGAAGCUACUAUGUGCCAGACACAAUCUUGGACUUUCACUUAAUCCUCAAAACGGCCCUAUCAAGUAAGAAGUAUCUUCUGUUAACAGGUAAGAAAGCUGACACCCACGGUUUACACAACUAAAGAGAGCAAAGGUUUUAACCCAGGACUAUCCUGACUCCACAGCAUCAAAGUAGUUGUUUGGUUUUUGUUUUUUUGUAGAGAGAGAAUCUCCUUCUAUUACCCAGGCUGGUCUCAAAACUUCUGGGCUCCAGCAGUCCUCCCACCUCAGCCUCCCAAAGUGCCGGGAUUACAGGCAGGAGCCACCACACUAGACUGAUGAAUAGAAAUUGGGUAAACAUUUUUGAAAAUUAAAUAUCAAAUUACCAUUACACAAUGCCAAACAUCCCUCCUUUGUCCUCUUCCGAGGAUUUUUCCAGAAGAUGGACUGACAUUCUGAUGGCCCCCUUCUUCCACAGAAUGUUCCCAAUGAAAAUUUCUGAAAUGAUAGGAAUGUUCUACAUAUGUGCUGUCCACAAUAGUAACCAUUAGCCACACAGAGCUAUUGAGCACUUUAAGUGUGGCUAGCAUAACUGAAAGGCCAAAUCUUUAAUUUUAAUAGCAAACCAUGGCCAAUCAUAAAAUGAUAAUAGCUUAAGAAAGAAACGGUGAGCAGGGUUACUGGGAGAGAGAUUUUCCUAUAAGCUCUGAAUAUACAGUUGACCCAUGAACAACAAGGGUUUGAACUGCAUGGGUCCACUUACAUAACCCUUGUUUUUUAUGUUUUUUUUGUUUGUUUGUUUGUUUUUAAUAAAUACAGUCAGCCCUCACUAUCAGAGGGUUUCACAUCCAUAAUGAAACAUGGUUGGAAAAUACAGUAUGGGAUGUGAAAUUUGUGUAGAGGGUGGGCUGACUUUUCAUUUCCAUGGGAUCUUCAAGGGCAACUACAGCACAUGAGUAUAGUCAGAUUUUGGUAUCCUAGGAGAUCCUGGAACCAAUACCUGGCAGAAACUAGAGGACAACUGUAUAAUGUGUACAUUGCUCCACAUCUUUCUUAAAGGUCUCCCCUUUAAGUCAGUUUGCAGACAUAAAAUAAGCAACAUUAAUUAAGCAUUUGCCAUGUACUUGCCUUCAAGUAUUCAAGGGACUGGGUGUGAUGGCGUGCAUCUGUAAUCUGAGCACUUUUGGAGGCCAAGGCAGGAGGAUUGCUUGAGCCCAGGAGUUCAAGAUCAGCCUGGGCAAUGUAGUGAAACCCCUUUUCUACAAAAAAGAUUAGCCAGCUACGACAUAUUAUGUAAUGCCAUUUGUAUGACCCUCAUGGUCACCCUAGACCCCAUGAAUCAGGCCCUGCCUGGUGCUACCACCACUUCUGUGCCAGGCCCCCCAGUGUGAUGCAAAUUGCAUGAUGCUCUUUGCUAUAGUGCCUUUUAAUGGCAUCACUUUGGAAGGUUUGGAGAUGUUCAGAAUAGGCAAAUCUUUAGAGCCUGUGGUGAAUUAGUGGUUGCCUAAGGCCUGGGGGAAAGAAGCAUAGAUAAAUUGGAGGGAUUAAUUAAAAGGUGUGAGAUUUCAUUUUGGAGUGAUGAAAAUGUUCUAAAAUUGGCUGUGGUAAUUGUUCUACAACUCUGAAUAUACUAAAAGGCAUUGAAUUGUACUCUUUCAAUGGGUGAACAUAUGUGAGUUAUAUCUCAAUAAAGCUGUUUU